AUUGAACGCUGGCGGCAGGCCUAACACAUGCGAGUCGAGCGGAUGAAGGGAGCUUGCUCCUGGAUUCAGCGGCGGACGGGUGAGUAAUGCCUAGGAAUCUGCCUGGUAGUGGGGGAUAACGUCCGGAAACGGGCGCUAAUACCGCAUACGUCCUGAGGGAGAAAGUGGGGGAUCUUCGGACCUCACGCUAUCAGAUGAGCCUAGGUCGGAUUAGCUAGUUGGUGGGGUAAAGGCCUACCAAGGCGACGAUCCGUAACUGGUCUGAGAGGAUGAUCAGUCACACUGGAACUGAGACACGGUCCAGACUCCUACGGGAGGCAGCAGUGGGGAAUAUUGGACAAUGGGCGAAAGCCUGAUCCAGCCAUGCCGCGUGUAUGAAGAAGGUCUUCGGAUUGUAAAGCACUUUAAGUUGGGAGGAAGGGCAGUAAGUUAAUACCUUGCUGUUUUGACGUUACCAACAGAAUAAGCACCGGCUAACUUCGUG
rnacentral:rRNA from 1 species